GCUGUAUGCUAGCUGUAAGCUAACGGCUAAGGUGCCUUAUCUUUGUUAAUAAAUUAUGUAUUUAUUAAUUGAUAAAAACAGGAUAUUUCAUGGUAUUCUGUAUUUACGACUGCUACCACUGGUCAGGUUUUAAUGUCGAUUGACCGCAGAUACAGUGGAGUCCGACCCGUCGGCGAAGGUUCUGGAUUAACCUCGAAGAAACUGUUCCAGUAAUGGAUGGUGAGCCCCGCCCACUUGAUCUAGAACCUGAUUGCAGCUAGGAGACUGCAAUUUCAGCACGCUGCAUCCGAGAGCUUUGAUUUAUUUUCCCUUGGCUAAAAGGGAUCAGAUAGAACUGUGCGCACAUUGACACUUGUUUCCUUCGGAGGAGGACACUCGGACUGCACUGACUCGGUGCUCGGUGAACCUUCUCACCAGGACUCGAGUUUAGUUAAGUGAGUAGUUCAGUGUGAUCUGAUUUGAGUACCACUUUGUUUGAAGGAUGUUGUGUUAACUUAAUAAUUGUGUAGUGUACAUAUACUGUGUUCUUCUGAUAAUUGUUUAGUGUAUAAGUUGGGAUUCUAAUUUAUUUUUUAUUUCCUUACUGUUAUAAUUGUUCCUAUUGGUUAUUUUAUACAAUAUGUGAAGUUAUUAUUUAUUAUUAUUAUUUCUAGAACAUUAGAUUAUUUUUCUAGAACAGCAUACCCUGUCGUGUUGCAUUUCCUACAUAUUUUCAAUUUGCCUUUUUAAAAAAAAAAAAAACAAACAAACCCAAAAAACAGUCUUACUAUUACUUAAGAUUUGAUACCUUUUUGCUACAGGUACUAUUUUUUAGAUGCCAUGUUUUAUUCAAAUGUAGACACGCCGUAUGCGCAUAAAACAAUGUUAUUAACUCUUAUAACCCAGAAAUAUUUAUUACUUGCUCAAAUGUAUUCAUCACUGACUGAACAAAAACUGGAUACUGUAUGGUGAAGGAUAAAUAGUAACAUCAGAAAUUUACGUGUGAACACGAUUAGCAUAAACUCAAACAAAGAAGACUUCCUUGGAAAUAAUGGUCCUGGUAAUUGCGUUCUUCCUGACAUUUUAUUUGUUCUUACAAUAUUCCCAGAAGUGUGUCUUCCUCCUUCAACAUAUCCUUAAGAUGCAUCCUAAAUGGACAAAAAGAAAAAAAAAAAACAGUUAAAUUAACUACUUGCGCUCUUUAUAAUGAAUCAAAGGCUGAAGGCAGCUUCUGAGAGCAUGGUUUCCUACCCGAUUAGCAGAGUCUUGGUUCUGGCACAUGAUCUGAGUACGGUAGUUCUCAUACAACGUGUCCUCAGUCACGUCUUUCAGGUCCUGCGUGUGUGUAUGUACCAGCAUGCUCCUCAGAUAGACAGUGUCAGAGUGAGCAGGGUUCUCCACUUCGAGAAGACGUGUGAUGAAGAGAAUGGAGCCGCUGUAGCAGGAUUAAGCAUUUCUUUUUAUAAAAGAUUAUAAAGGAGCAUACAAAGUUAGGGUCCGAGAACCAUCCCAUGUCUCCAAACUCAUUAGAAAUGACAGUAUUGUUUUGUUAUUGCUUCUAAAACACGCUUGAUGAAAUUUUUUUGAUUAAUUAUUAUAUCUAUUUUAAAAAAACAAUUCACCUCUUGUGUCUUGCCUUAAAUCUGAUAGAGUGCGUUUAUGAUACUGUUCAAAUAUAGUAAAGGGAAAGACACUUUGGUUUUUGAGAAAUGGCUGGAAAAGAGUCGCAGGACGACCUGAAAGCAGCAGGAACACCAGUUACACAGUGAACAGUAAGCAAUGAAAAGCACCGCAAUCAACUUUUUAUUUUUAUUUAUUUUUUUUACACCCCACACUCUGCUGGAACAAUAACAAUAAUAACAAAGCUCCUCCUUCAAUAUAUCCUUAAGAUACAUCCUAAAUGGACAAAAAGAAGAAGAAAAAACAGUUAAAUUAACUACUUGCGCUCUUUAUAAUGAAUCAAAGGCUGAAGGCAGCUUCUGAGAGCAUGGUUUCCUACCCGAUUAGCAGAGUCUUUGUUUUGGCACAUGGUCUGAGUACGGUAGUUCUCAUACAACGUGUCCUCAGUCACUUCUUUCAGGUCCUGCAUGUGUAUAUGUACCAGCAUGCUCCUCAGAUAGACAAAGUCAGAGUGAGCAGGGUUCUCCACUUCGAGAGGACAUGUGAUGAAGAGAAAUGGAAAGCAAUUUACUUGAGAAAGAAAUACAUACUAUGAGAGAUGUCUUACAAUACUAUUAACUGGAGAUGCACCGAUGUACCGGCCAAUAAAGGCUGUUAUUCCCACUAUCGGCCGAUAGUUUAAAAACGUCCGACGAUCAGGGCCGAUUAUAUCCUGUCAACAAAAGAGGGCAGGAAAACACAUCAUAGGGUCUAAUCCCACAACCCCCCAACCCACUCACGCUGAAUUAAAGGGCCAGUAUGCCGUUGAAAGAUUUAAAUGAAGUUGAAUGACAAAAAAGUAGUAUAUAUUGCACAGAAAAAUAUAUUUGUAGUGUAUUUCAUAUGCAGUUAAUGUUAAGGAGUUAAUAUAAUCAAAAAAAGGUUAUAUUAGGCCAAUAUAGUACCAGUGUAAUGUCACUGAUGAACUAGAAAUGCUUUUGUUGCGAGUGAAUGUGAGCCUAACAGGAGUUUUUUUUUUUUUUUUUUUUUUUUUUUUUUUUUAAGAAUUCAAUGAGUUAAGAAAUCUUAAUUUAAUCUUCAGAAUUGAGUUCAUGUGUUAAUGUUAAUGUGAGUCAUGUGUUUUCUGUUGAUGAGACCAGUUACUGUGAAACAACUUGCUGAAAUGGAGAUAAUAAAGUUUUUAUUUGCA